rnacentral:rRNA from 1 species
UAGGGAAUUUUGCGCAAUGGGCGAAAGCCUGACGCAGCAACACCGCGUGAGCGAUGAAGCCCUUCGGGGUGUAAAGCUCUGUCAGUGGGGACGAAUUUUGACGGUACCCACAGAGGAAGCAUCGGCUAACUACGUGCCAGCAGCCGCGGUAAGACGUAGGAUGCAAGCGUUGUCCGGAAUUAUUGGGCGUAAAGAGUUCGUAGGCGGUUUAUUAAGUCUGGUGUUAAAGCCCGAGGCUCAACCUCGGUUCGGCGCCGGAUACUGGUAGACUAGAGUACGGUAGAGGUAAAGGGAAUUCCUGGUGUAGCGGUGAAAUGCGUAGAUAUCAGGAGGAACACCGGUGGCGAAAGCGCUUUACUGGGCCGAAACUGACGCUGAGGAACGAAAGCCGGGGGAGCAAAUGGG